UAUGUGAUGGUAUGGCGUGUCCGCAAGUUCUAAGAUGUCCCAAUCAGUAUACACCCCCUGGUCAGUGUUGCCCAGUAUGCGGACCAAUAGGGAAGCCAGACUGCAUUAAGAUAGCUUGUACACUACGGCACUGUGUUGGCCAGUAUACUCCACCUGUACAGUGUUGUCCAAUAUGUCCACGUAACACAUACUGAUGAAACAUUUUAAGAAAAUGCACAAGCUUUCUUUCUGUUCUUAACGUCAAUCAAACGCCAAAUCUGUUUACGAGUGUAAUGAAUUAGACUUGUUGUUGUUAAUUUGAUUGUUGUUUUUUUCUGAUCAGAAACAACACUGUCAGUACGACAGUAGUGAAUCGUUGCUCCUUUUCACUUGAUGUUGGAACUGUGAUAAUAUAUCAAGAAUGCGUCAAAUACAACUUUAUUUCAUUUUUAUUUAUUUCUCUCAGGACAAAGUACAUGACAACAUAUUUACCUGUUUUUCAUUGUCGUGUGACAUGUAAAGUGUACGAGUGUAUAUGUUAUAGAGAUAUUGAACCAUAAUAUACUUAAGUUCACCUUUCUCCAUUUAUAUUUUUGUACAUUUAUAUGAAUUGCAAUGCAUAAAUUUGUAAAGGUUUAAAAAUGUAUAAUUCAGCUAAAUGGUUAAUAAAACUUGAAUCAUG